AUCUCUUCGGAGCAUUUUACGAGGUGCUGCAUGGUUGUCGUCAGCUCGUGCCGUGAGGUGUCGGGUUAAGUCCCAUAACGAGCGCAACCCUACCCUUUAGUUGCCAUCAGGUAAUGCUGGGGACUCUAAAGAAACUGCCUACGCAAGUAGUGAGGAAGCGGGGAUGACGUCAAAUCAGCACGGCCCUUACGUCCAGGGCUACACACGUGCUACAAUGGCCGAUACAGAGGGCAGCUACCUGGUGACAGGAUGCAAAUCUCCAAAGUCGGUCUCAGUUCGGAUCGGAGUCUGCAACCCGACUCCGUGAAGUUGGAUUCGCUAGUAAUCGCGCAUCAGCCAUAGCGCGGUGAAUACGUUCCCGGGCCUU
rnacentral:rRNA from 1 species